rnacentral:rRNA from 1 species
AACGAACGCUGGCGGCAUGCCUAACACAUGCAAGUCGAACGAGAUCUUCGGGUCUAGUGGCGCACGGGUGCGGAACGCGUGGGAAUCUGCCCUUUAGUUCGGAAUAACAGUUGGAAACGACUGCUAAUACCGGAUGAUGACGAAAGUCCAAAGAUUUAUCGCCAGAGGAUGAGCCCGCGUAGGAUUAGCUAGUUGGUGUGGUAAAGGCGUACCAAGGCGACGAUCCUUAGCUGGUCUGAGAGGAUGAUCAGCCACACUGGGACUGAGACACGGCCCAGACUCCUACGGGAGGCAGCAGUGGGGAAUAUUGGACAAUGGGCGAAAGCCUGAUCCAGCAAUGCCGCGUGAGUGAUGAAGGCCUUAGGGUUGUAAAGCUCUUUUACCCGGGAUGAUAAUGACAGUACCGGGAGAAUAAGCUCCGGCUAACUCCGUGCCAGCAGCCGCGGUAA